UACGUAGGGGCAAGCGUUGUCCGGAAUGAUUGGGCGUAAAGGGCGCGUAGGCGGCUUUGUAAGUCUGGAGUGGAAGUCCUAUUUUCAAGGUAGGAAUUGCUUUGGAAACUAUGAAGCUUGAGUGCAGGAGAGGUUAUCGGAAUUCCCGGUGUAGCGGUGAAAUGCGUAGAGAUCGGGAGGAACACCAGUGGCGAAGGCGGGUAACUGGACUGCAACUGACGCUGAGGCGCGAAAGUGUGGGGAGCAAACAGGAUUAGAUACCCUGGUAGUCCCUGA
rnacentral:rRNA from 1 species